rnacentral:lncRNA from 1 species
UUUUUCAGUCCAAUGCCACAUGUCAGCUUUCUAAUGGUCCAAUCACUCACACAUCAGCUAUAAAUACUGUUCACAGUGCCACAUAAUCCAGAUCCAUUCAUUGCAAUACACAUCACCAAAAACAGAUUCCCACUUUCUCUCUCUUUUCUGUUAGAUCAAAACAAAAAUUUCUCAAGAACACAAAGAACCCUAACCGAAAUUCAUCAUCAAUUCUCAGAGAUUCGUGUACGAAUCUUCAUCAUUAAAUCGAUUCCACCGCAAUACAAGGUGCGAAUUCCUCACCGGAAGUGAAGAACUCAAGCACCGAUCACGGUGGGAGAAGAAGAAGGGAAAAUCGAAUCUGUAC